CCCUUAGAUGUCCGGGGCCGCACGCGCGCUACACUGAAGGAAUCAGCGUGGCUUUCUCCCUGACCCGAAAGGGUUGGGAAACCCGUUGAAUCUCCUUCGUGAUAGGGAUUGGGGCGUGAAAUUGUUCCCCAUGAACGAGGAAUUCCCAGUAAGCGCGAGUCAUAAGCUCGCGUUGAUUACGUCCCUGCCCUUUGUACACACCGCCCGUCGCUACUACCGAUUGAACGGUUUAGUGAGGGCCUCGGAUUGGUCUCGGCCCGCUCUUUACCGGGCGGCGCCGUUGGUCGAGAAGACGCUCGAACUUGAUCGUUUAGAGGAAGUAAAAGUCGUAACA
rnacentral:rRNA from 1 species